GUCUACGGCCAUACCACCCUGAAUGCGUCUGAUCUUGUCUGAUCUUGGAAACUAAGCAGGAUUGGGCCUGGUUAGUACUUAGUACUUGGAUGGGAGAAAGUCUAUAAUUUUUACCAUUGAGGUGGAGACU
rnacentral:rRNA from 1 species